rnacentral:rRNA from 1 species
GACGAACGCUGGCGGCGUGCUUAACACAUGCAAGUCGAACGGAAAGGCCCCUUUGGGGGUACUCGAGUGGCGAACGGGUGAGUAACACGUGAGUAACCUGCCCUUGACUUCGGGAUAACUUCAGGAAACUGGGGCUAAUACCGGAUAGGAAUCCUUGCUGCAUGGUGGGGGUUGGAAAGCUUCGGCGGUUUUGGAUGGACUCGCGGCUUAUCAGCUUGUUGGUGGGGUAGUGGCUUACCAAGGCUUUGACGGGUAGCCGGCCUGAGAGGGCGACCGGCCACAUUGGGACUGAGAUACGGCCCAGACUCCUACGGGAGGCAGCAGUGGGGAAUAUUGCACAAUGGGCGGAAGCCUGAUGCAGCAACGCCGCGGGCGGGAUGACGGCCUUCGGGUUGUAAACCGCUUUCAGCAGGGGCGAAGCUUGUGGUGACGGUACCUGCAGAAGAAGCACCGGCUAACUACGUG